GGUGAGUAAUGCCUAGGAAAUUGCCCUGAUGUGGGGGAUAACCAUUGGAAACGAUGGCUAAUACCGCAUGAUGCCUACGGGCCAAAGAGGGGGACCUUCGGGCCUCUCGCGUCAGGAUAUGCCUAGGUGGGAUUAGCUAGUUGGUGAGGUAAUGGCUCACCAAGGCGACGAUCCCUAGCUGGUCUGAGAGGAUGAUCAGCCACACUGGAACUGAGACACGGUCCAGACUCCUACGGGAGGCAGCAGUGGGGAAUAUUGCACAAUGGGCGCAAGCCUGAUGCAGCCAUGCCGCGUGURUGAAGAAGGCCUUCGGGUUGUAAAGYACUUU
rnacentral:rRNA from 1 species